CCUACGGGCGGCAGCAGUGAGGAAUAUUGGUCAAUGGACGAGAGUCUGAACCAGCAAAGUAGCGUGAAGGAUGACUGCCCUAUGGGUUGUAAACUUCUUUUAUAUGGGAAUAAAAUGUUCCACGUGUGGGAUUUUGUAUGUACCAUAUGAAUAAGGAUCGGCUAACUCCGUGCCAGCAGCCGAGGUAAUACGGAGGAUCCGAGCGUUAUCCGGAUUUAUUGGGUUUACAGGGAGCGUAGGUGGAUUGUUAAGUCAGGUGUGAAAGGUUGCGGCUCAACCGUAAAAUUGCAGUUGAAACUGGCAGUCUUGAGUACAGUAGAGGUGGGCGGAAUUCGUGGUGUAGCGGUGAAAUGCUUAGAUAUCACGAAGAACUCCGAUGGCGAAGGCAGCUCACUGGACUGCAACUGACACUGAGGCUCGAAAGUGUGGGUAUCAAACAGGAUUAGAUACCCUGGUAGUC
rnacentral:rRNA from 1 species